rnacentral:rRNA from 1 species
UACGUAGGGUGCAAGCGUUGUCCGGAAUUAUUGGGCGUAAAGAGCUCGUAGGCGGUCUGUUGCGUCGGCUGUGAAAACCCGGGGCUCAACUCCGGGCUUGCAGCCGAUACGGGCAGACUAGAGUUCGGCAGGGGAGACUGGAAUUCCUGGUGUAGCGGUGAAAUGCGCAGAUAUCAGGAGGAACACCGGUGGCGAAGGCGGGUCUCUGGGCCGAUACUGACGCUGAGGAGCGAAAGCGUGGGGAGCGAACAGG